rnacentral:rRNA from 1 species
CCUACGGGAGGCAGCAGUGAGGAAUAUUGGUCAAUGGUCGGGAGACUGAACCAGCCAAGCCGCGUGAGGGAUGAAGGUACAGAGUAUCGUAAACCUCUUUUGUCAGGGAACAAAGGCGGGGACGUGUCCCCGGAUGAGUGUACCUGAAGAAAAAGCAUCGGCUAACUCCGUGCCAGCAGCCGCGGUAAUACGUAUGGGGCAAGCGUUAUCCGGAUUUACUGGGUGUAAAGGGAGCGUAGGCGGCAGGGCAAGCCUGAUGUGAAAGCCCGGGGCUCAACCCCGGGACUGCAUUGGGAACUGCCCUGCUGGAGUGCCGGAGGGGCAGGCGGAAUUCCUAGUGUAGCGGUGAAAUGCGUAGAUAUUAGGAGGAACACCAGUUGCGAAGGCGGCCUGCUGGACGGUGACUGACGCUGAGGCUCGAAAGCGUGGGGAGCAAACAGGAUUAGAUACCCCGGUAGUC